GGAGGGAGGGAGCGUGGGAGACAGAGUGGCGGGUGAGAGAAUGGAUCGCUCAGAGCUUUUGACUAAUGGAGCCUCGGAAACAGUUCCACUUCCAUUAUUAUUCAACUUGUUAGGCGCUUCUCACAUUCCUCGAACCCGCCUUCUCAUUCCUCUCUCUCUCCCUCUCCCUCUCCGCAACCCAUAUACAUAUAUUGGUUUCAGAGCUCAGCUUUCCCAAUCAUCAAACCUCCCACUUAUUUUUCUCUCUCUGUCAUUUUGUAAUACAUUAUUGGCUUGUUUUCAGAUGGAUCCACGCCCUUUGCCUUUGCGUGCGUUGCUAAAAGAUUGACAAUCACGUCUUUCUCAUGACCUUUUUCUCUCAUCUUCUUCUUCUUCUUCUUCCUCUUCUAGACUCGCCAUUUUUUCAGCUGCGAUCGUGUUCGUUGAAUCAUUCGGAAUCCACAUUUCAAUCGGUAAUUAUAGCUUUACAAUAGUUGCUCGGAACCAGGGCCCUUUGAAGAUACCUUCCAAAUUUGCUUAUCUUCAUAAUUUUAAUUGACAGAUAGUGCUUCUGCCGUAGCUGGUUUUGACCGUCGUAUCCUGGGAG